rnacentral:rRNA from 1 species
GAUGAACGCUAGCUACAGGCUUAACACAUGCAAGUCGAGGGGAAACAACAUCGACAGCUUGCUUUUGAUGGGCCUCGACCGGCGCACGGGUGAGUAACACGUCUUCAACAUGACCACCACUUGGGGAUAACCUUGCGGAAGUAAGACUAAUACCCAUUGAGAUCCGCCGAAGGCAUCAGUAAGGGACUGAAGUUUUCUCGGUGAUGGAUGGGGAUGCGUCUGAUUAGCUUGUUGGCGGGGUGACGGCCUACCAAGGCAACGAUGAGUAGGGGUUCUGAGAGGAAGGGCCCCCGCAUCGGAACCGAGACACGGACCACACUGCUACGGCAGGCAGCAGUGAGGAAUGUUGGUCAAUGGACGAGAGCCUGAACCAGCCAAGUAGCGUGCAGGAUUACGGCCAUAUGGAUUGUAAACUGCUGUUAUAGGAGAAUUAAGUGGGUCACGUGUGACUUUUUGCAGGUACCUGAUGAAUAAGGACCGGCUAAUUACGUG